UCCGCUCCAGAUCAACGCCACCGCACGGCCCACCGGAACCCUCUCCAGCCGCCGCCGCCGCCGCCGCCGCCUUUCCUCCCUCCUUUCAAAGCGGCGAGUCCUUUAUACUCCACCACAAUCUAACAAUCCCUCGCAGGCCAUUCCUGGAGUGGUACAGUACAGUCUACAGGAGAUCGCCAGCGAGCACCGCCGGCGACCGGACACGACGACGAGGAGGGGGAUGAAGGCAUCUCAUUAGCGCAUCGGUGGCUCCGUGGUGGCGUGACACGCGGCGGAGCGGGGGGAGGCACGGCACUGCCGCACUGGCCAUGGCCGCUAGGGCGAGCAAAGAGACCGUGGGCCGACGGCAGAAGAGGGAGGCAGGCUUCAUCCAUGCAUCUCAAAGACCAUCCGCCUCACUUCCUCCUCCACCUCCCUCAUCCUCUCCCGCCCCACCUCGGCCACCGGAUCCCUGUACGUACAACACCUAGCUCCAGGCAGCUGCCGCAUGGUGGGGAAUGGUGGAGGCUGAAGGCACAGGCCAUGACGCUGGUGCAGGUUGAGCCUCCACUUCCACACAGAUUCAUCUCCCUCCAUGGAUGACCAGAUUUUCAGGAAUUGCUGGUGCAACCAAUGGACAUGAAACACCCAAGAAGGUGACACUAGAUCAGGAACUAACUUUUUUUGUACUCUGUUUGUACUCCAUUUGAUUCUGAUAUUUUCUCUUCUUUUCUGAAUAUAUGAUGCCUGGGAAAAAUGCAUUGUAUGAUAUUAUAUUGGAGAAAAGAAGCGCCCUAUGGGUUCUCCUAACAGUGCAAGUGUCCUAGAUGAAGAUGCAGAGAUAACAUAAAAGUUGCAAUGGCUGUCACAAGUGUUUGGGACUGGUCCUCGACGGCGAUGUUAGCCCACAGGUUAUGUCCCUACUCCCUCUCUGUGUGUACUUGUGUGUGUGUGUGGUAUUCAUUGACAAUCUCCUUCCAGCAUCUCGGGAAGGAGUGGUAUAAUUGUGCUUCCAGGGCAAAAUGCCCGAGAGACAAUGCCGCUCGGACUGCUAUCGGUGCAGAGGACUUCCAUGGGGGCUAAAGGAGGUUCCACCAAACCAGGGCCAAAAUUGAUCUCCAAGAUUUCGCUCUUUCCUUUCCCAUGGAAGAAUUUGUUCGCUGCCACCAGCUAACUAGGGAAUCGUCAUGCGCUGCCGCCAUAGCCGGGCUCAUGUUCAGCUUGCAGAGUGUCAGGUGCCAAGCUUCCUUCGCAAAAGAGCAAGAAGUAAGCAGGUGGGCAGCAGUUUCAGGCUCUUGUAGACAUAGCAGACACUGUGGAUUAUGGGGCCACCCUCGCUUAGCAAGGUUAUCCGCCGUUAGACAUCGAUCUUGAGCAGCCAGCCAGACGAAGAACUGACAUUUGGGAGGUGCAUCCGAGCUCCAGGCCAGCUUCGCAUACGGUGGCUUAAUGUUGGCAGUAAGAGUGGCAGCGUACGCCGAGCUGGAGGAAAACUGACCGUCGUUUGCCCAUCUCCAGGGUCGCACGGAGUUUCAUCGGCCGAAAUUCUCAUGCUGACCGUACAAGUUCGCCCCUGUCCCCCACCUUCUCCUCAUCAUCGGCCAUAGUGGAGGGCUGGAGAGCAGGCGGGCGGAGCGGCAACUACUUUGAAAGAUGGUGACGACAUCAGUACAUAAGCAUUCUAGAAGAGAUUGGUAAUCUGAAGCUGCUAAAAGUUCUUCAACUUCCCACAUGCAAGAUAUGGAGUGUGUGUGCAUUUGAGAUGUCAAGAAGCAUUUGAAGCAGGAAGGGAGGUAUAAAAUUGAUUCUCAAGUUACCCUUUUUGGUGUUUGCUUUGUCUGGUUUUUUCUCGGUGAGUUACAUACAAUUUUCAUUCUUUUGUUUUCAUUGAUGUCCCAAAUUGUUAAAAACUUAUUACUUGAGUUGAUAUUUUGCAUGACCUCUGUAUUCUAUCUGAUGGAGCUGGAGUUUGCUUACACAGUGUUGUUGUUAUUAAUAUCUAAUAUACUAAAGCUAUGUAGUGGUUGUUUUCCAUGGCAGUGAACGAUAUAUGUGGCAGUAGUCAAUAUUUAUAUAUGAUGCAUAGAUGAUUAUAGGGCAACCUGGUGCAUGUAGCUCCCGCUUGCGCAGGGUCCAGGGAAGGGUCCGACCACUUUGGGUCUAUAGUACGCAGCCUUUCCCUACAUUUCUGUAAGAGGCUGUUUCCAGGACUUGAACCCAUGACCUCAUGAUUAUACUUUAGUAAAAUACAUCAUGAUCAGAAAUUAAUUUAAACAUAAAAUUUGGCCCUGAAUUUUUCUUCUCAUCUAAUGGGGCAUGUAUUUUGAAAGCAAGAAUGCUGUUCUGCUCUAAUAUUUCUUAGAUAGUGGGAGAAAGUCAUGCACAAAUUCAAGGCCAGCAAGGAACAACCUACUGAACGUGGAUGACCACCACUUCUCCGUCCAGGCAACCACCCUAUCCAUGGAGGAUUGACACCCUGUAGUCACGCCAUCUCAGUCCAGACUGCGUCAUGCUCACCUUCAAGAUUGUCGAGGAGGGGGAAAAACAGAAGUUCCCAUGCACGAACUUGGAUGGAUAAUUGGAAGGUCCAGAUAAGGGGGGCACACUACGCGGAGCUCAACUACAACUUGUCUAUUAUUUUGCAUGGUGGUGAAUAGUGCAGUGAUGUAUUUGUGCACAUACCAUUGAGCUUAGGGCACAUCAGAACAUUUUGACACUUAGCUGCCGUGUUAGAACUCAUGGCUCUUUGACAAGGAUGUUCCUUAUACUAAAGAAUCUGAUGAAAUGUUCCUUUCAUUUUUCUUUGGCACUUAGGUAAAUUGCGUGUGCCAGAUCCACUCACUCAAAGGCCACCAGAUCCACUCACUCACAUGUGCCAGGUCCGGAAAGCAUUAGAUGCCGUGGGAGCCAGCCUUGCAAGGCUAUAUUUGGUUAGUGCUAACCAUCGCUUAUAGUUUAGUCAUGUAAUAAUGACUCUUGGGUCCGGUGAGAGCCGCGUGGGUGGGUUAUUUUAACGGGGGCGAGAUGGUCUCCUUCAACCUCAAGAACAGCCGCAUCCUCCAUCCCCAACAACAACCUCGUAGCCACGCCGGAGGAUGGAUCCAUGUCCAUGGUCUUCGAAAGAGAAGGCCCGGUCCUUGGGGAUCCGGAAGUAUACACCACAGCCGUCGUCGGUGGCCUCUUGCUGCGUCUGAUUCAUGCAAGUUCUGUAACAUGACUGUUACGGGGCUUUCUACGGAUCUGUACGCUCCAGAGCAGACCCUCCGACCUCUUUGCAUGGAUUUGGCAGGAUACAACAUGGGUUAUUUUGCAAAUGUGCGUCACGCCAGUUGGAUCUCUCUUUCUCCCCCCCUCCCCUCUCCCCUCCCCUCCCGUCGUCGCCACGCCUCACGCCACACGCCACAAACCCUAGGGCCGUCGAUCCCGCGCUCCUUGCCUAGCGCGUCCCCUCCCCUCCUUGCCCGACCGCCUCCCCCACCCUCGCCCCACAUGGCGGACGUCAAGAUCGGGCGCCGCAGGCACCGGAAGAUGGUCACGGCGGCGAACCCGCCUGAGGAGAAGACAAUUUUCAUCUACCCAAAGUCCCUCCAUACAAGGAAUGAGAAAGCCAACAUUCGCAACUGGCAGCUCAAUAAUGCCCUCAAUGCACUUGGUGACACGAGAUCGGAGAUCCUUUUCCUCCUGGACGUUCAGCACAAGACCAAACAGACCAUGAAGGACUUGAAGAGAGCCAGGGCUCGACACGGUGAUCUUUUGGAGAAGGCCCCAAUUACCAUACCAGACUGGAUACAGAAUCUACCUGUGCUCAUGGAUUAGGAACAAAUCUACUGUCUGGUCCAUCGGCAAGUGUGACCAGAAGCAUGAUAGAACAAUGUCAGCUCUUUACAAUGGAAGAGCAUGUUUUCAUUCUUCGUACACCAGCAGUGGCAACGCUACCUAAUCUCUACACAGUCAAGCUUUGCCUCUAGUAUGUGAGAAGCCUGUACAGCAAAUCAGCAAGUUGGGGUUCAUGGCACUAGGUAUUUUAGUUCCACUGGAUCAUUAACAAUCUAUUCAACAGCAGUGACUCUGGUGAGUUUUAGCAGCAUGCAAUUGAAAGGAAAGGGAAGGAAUAUACGCACUUCGUCGCAUGUUUCCUGCAUAGUAUCAGUAUCAGCCACUCUACCAUGGCCCCUCCAGUUGUCUCUACAACUUCAAAACGCAACAAAAGGCAGGCGAUUGCUUUUGGCUCCUGGGCUCGAUGGAGUCCAGAUUUUGAAAAGAAUAAAAAUCUAAAUUAAACAAUUAUGAAAAUAAAUACACACAUACAUAUGGUUGUGCGCCACUUGCUUGUAUAUUUUCUUUUUUUUGAACAAUUUGCUUGUGUAUUUUCAUGAUGAAAUGCAUUUUUGUGCGAGCUAUAGACAAAAAAACAUGUAUUCCUAACAUAUGUAUUAUUUCACUACAAAAGUAGAUAAAUCUUUUCUUGUGUGGCACACAUCAGAACAUAUUUCAUCAUGGAAAUCUGACACACAUUUUGUAUACAUAUCUAAGCAAGUGUGUAUUUUUUCAGAUUUUUUUGAACUUCGGAAUGUGAUUUUUCAAGUUUUUUAAAUUUCAGGUUCCAUGCUGGGAGCCAAAAAUCCACACUCAACAAAGGUGAUAAAGUAAGAGGAAAUUACAAUGGAGGUCCAUCAAGGAGUUAUUGAUUAGUCUAAUCGUUUUGAAAAUUCCUUUGGCCAUCUUAGGGGAAAGAUUCAUAAUAUAAAGUCCAGGAUUAAGAUCACAAGAAUACUCUUUUACAUAAAAGAACCAAGCAUAGAAGUCCAAGCAUAUCUCUGCAUCCUGAUGAUGGUGAUAAUGCUGGAGAUCGAGAUGACAAAGAGGAGGUAGAGAUCGAUGAAGAUGAUGACGUAGUGGAAUAUAUACAUGUACUUGAUCUUCUCUCCCCAUGGCCAAAUGCAUCACUUUGAAGCAUGUCAAUAUCACAUACACAAUCUGCAUAUCGAACUAAUAUCAUCCACCAAUGAGGCUGGCUCAUGAUUUAGAUUUCACUUUUGUGUCGAUUUAAAAAAUCAAACAAAGGGACGGUUGACUCAAUGGGAUGUUUGAGAUGCGAU